GCCAGGCAUAUUAAAGGGCAUGACUCCCUGCAUGUAAAAUGAGGAAGCUAAACUGGAAUGAAAUUACCAAUAAAAUUAUCUUUUUUUAUGGUUCUUAGGGAGAUAACUAUAGGCUUAGCAAAAUUUCAAAGGGUUUUGUAAUUGAAAGUGGUUUCAACCUCAGAAAAACAGCCAUUUCCCAUAACUACAGGUUCCCAGUAUUCCUAUGAUUUCUGGACAAUUAAAAUUUCCAGUACUUUUUUCAUAUACCUGGUGCUUAGUUUUAAGCUAUUUUAAAACUGUCAGAUUGAGAAUUUCAAUAGAUGUCAUAAACAAGUUUUAUUAGCUACUAUGUUUAAAUCAAUAUAAUACUAAGUGCUGUUAAUAUACUAUAAUAGAGUUAUAGUAGCUAUUUUGUUUCUAUAAAAAAUUAAUAAAAAUAUCUUUAUUGAUAUUUGGCUUUUUUUAAUACCUAACUUAAUAGAAGGAGUGUUUCCAAUUAAUUUAACAAAGCCAGAUUUUGAAAUCUGGCUUCAAAGUCAUAUAGUAAAUCUUACUACAUAAUUAAAAUAAUGCUUGUUCUUAAUGUAUAAUCCAGAACAAAAGCAUCAAGCUGCUUUUGUUAAACAAAUAUGAAAUAUACAUAAGAGUAGAUUUUUUUGUUUAAUUUCACAAAACUAUUUUGCAAAGUUCACUUGUAUCAUCUCUAUCCUUAUAGUAAAAAUUUUAAGAUUUAACUCGGCUUUCUCAGGUUAUUUCCCUCUACCCCUAUGAACUGCUGAGUUUUAGUUUCUUUUCUGGCCUUCAGUUUUCACUAUCUGUAAAGCUGAAGGACUGUAUUAUACUACCUCCAAUAUCUUUUCUGGUACUAAUUUUUAAAAUACCUGAUCAGAAUGAAGCCAUCAUAGUGUAAGGCAGCAUAUUUGUCUAUAAGGAGACUUUCCAAAGACAGUACCCAUCCAAUGCAAAUAAUAAAUUUGAAGCUAAUCUGUUGUGCUUUAAAAUGAGCAAAUUCACAUGUCUUUAUUGCCCUUUGAAAGUUGGUUAAUCUCAAAAACUACCUUUUUUUAAAUAUCCUCUGCAAGGUCAAUUGUAACAGUUCUCCAUCCUUCCUCUUCCCUUUGAAAUAAACACAAAUAGAAUAUAUCUUACAGCUGCAAGAAAACCUGAGUCCUUUCCAAAACAAAGGUGACUGAAGUAAAUUAUCUCUAAAACUUAUUCCAUAGACUUCAUUUAUUAAUAAGCAUAUUGUGAAAAUCUACAUUUGUUUUAGAUUUCAUGUUUACAGAGCUUUUCACAAUUGUAUUAGGAUCUUUCACAACUACUCUCUGGGUUUUAUGAACAGUAAAGUAAAGAAUCU
rnacentral:lncRNA from 1 species